rnacentral:rRNA from 1 species
AUAAUAAUUAGGUUUUUAAUUGAAAUCUAGAAUGAAUGAUUGGACGAGAUACAGGCUGUUUUAUAGUAAUUAAUUAAAACUUAAUUUUUUAGUCAAAAAGCUAAAAUUUUAUUAAAAGACGAGAAGACCCUAUAAAUCUUUAUAAUAAAUUUAUUUUAAUAAAUUAUUUUAUUUAAAUUAAUUGUUUUAAUAAUAAAUUAUUUUAUUGGGGUGAUACAAAAAUUUAAUUAACUUUUUUAUUAGAAUUUCUUAAAUUAAAGAUUUAUAAAAAUAUGAUCUACUAUUAGUAAUUCAGAGAAUAAGAUACUUUAGGGAUAACAGCGUAAUUUUAAUUUUAAGUUCUUAUUAAAAUUAAAGAUUGC